rnacentral:tRNA from 2 species
GGAGAGGUGCCAGAGUGGUUGAAUGGGGCGGUCUCGAAAACCGUUGUGGGGGCAACUCCAUCCAGGGUUCGAAUCCCUGCCUCUCCGCCA